rnacentral:rRNA from 1 species
UGCAGUCGACGGCAGCACAGGAGAGCUUGCUCUCUGGGUGGCGAGUGGCGGACGGGUGAGGAAUAUAUCGGAAUCUACCCUUUCGUGGGGGAUAACGUAGGGAAACUUACGCUAAUACCGCAUACGAACUGAGGUUGAAAGCGGCGGACCGCAAGGCGUCGCGCGGAUGGAUGAGCCGAUAUCCGAUUAGCUAGUUGGCGGGGUAAAGGCCCACCAAGGCGACGAUCGGUAGCUGGUCUGAGAGGAUGAUCAGCCACACUGGAACUGAGACACGGUCCAGACUCCUACGGGAGGCAGCAGUGGGGAAUAUUGGACAAUGGGCGCAAGCCUGAUCCAGCCAUGCCGCGUGUGUGAAGAAGGCCUUCGGGUUGUAAAGCACUUUUGUUGGGAAAGAAAAGCGGUCGGUUAAUACCCGGUCGUUCUGACGGUACCCAAAGAAUAAGCACCGGCUAACUUCGUGCCAGCAGCCGCGGUAAUACG